UAGACUAGGAGAAGGUAUACACGGGGCAGGUAGACUAGGGGCGGCAGGUAGACUAGGGGCGGCAGGUAGACUGGAGGCAGGUAGACUAGGAGAAGGUAGACUAGGAGAAGAUAUACACGGGGCAGGUAGACUAGGGGCAGGUAGACUAGGGGCGGCAGGUAGACUAGAGGCAGGUAGACUAGGAGAAGGUAUACAAGGGGCAGGUAGACUAGGGGCGGCAGGUAGACUGGAGGCAGGUAGACUGGAGGCAGGUAGACUAGAGGAGGCAGGUAGACUAGGAGAAGGUAGACUAGGAGAAGGUAUACACGGGGCAGGUAGACUAGGGGCGGCAGGUAGACUAGGGGCGGCAGGUAGACUGGAGGCAGGUAGACUAGGAGAAGGUAGACUAGGAGAAGAUAUACACGGGGCAGGUAGACUAGGGGCAGGUAGACUAGGGGCGGCAGGUAGACUAGAGGCAGGUAGACUAGGAGAAGGUAUACAAGGGGCAGGUAGACUAGGGGCGGCAGGUAGACUGGAGGCAGGUAGACUGGAGGCAGGUAGACUAGUGGCAGGUAGAUUAGGGGCGGCAGGUAGACUAGAGGCAGGUAGACUGGAGGCAGGUAGACUGGAGGCAGGUAGACUAGGGGCAGGUAGACUAGGGGCGGCAGGUAGACUGGAGGGAGGUAGACUGGAGGCAGGUAGACUAGGGGCGGCAGGUAGACUGGAGGCAGGUAGACUAGGGGCAGGUAGACUAGAAGAGGCAUGUAGACUAGGGGCAGGUAGACUA
ensembl:lncRNA